UACAGAGGAUGCAAGCGUUAUCCGGAAUGAUUGGGCGUAAAGCGUCUGUAGGUGGCUUUUUAAGUCCGCCGUCAAAUCCCAGGGCUCAACUCUGGACAGGCGGUGGAAACUGCCAAGCUAGAGUGCGGAAGAGGCAACUGGAAUUCCCAGUGUAGCGGUGAAAUGCGUAGAUAUUGGGAAGAACACCGGAGGCGAAGGCGGGUGCUGGGCCGGACACUGACGCUGAUGCGCGAAAGCCAGGGGAGCGAACGGG
rnacentral:rRNA from 1 species